rnacentral:rRNA from 1 species
GUGGGGAAUAUUGGACAAUGGGCGAAAGCCUGAUCCAGCCAUGCCGCGUGUGUGAAGAAGGUCUUCGGAUUGUAAAGCACUUUAAGUUGGGAGGAAGGGCAGUAAGUUAAUACCUUGCUGUUUUGACGUUACCGACAGAAUAAGCACCGACUAACUUCGUGCCAGCAGCCGCGGUAAUACGAAGGGUGCAAGCGUUAAUCGGAAUUACUGGGCGUAAAGCGCGCGUAGGUGGUUUUGUAAGUUGGAGGUGAAAUCCCCGGGCUCAACCUGGGAACUGCCUCCAAAACUGCAUGACUAGAGUACGGUAGAGGGUAGUGGAAUUUCCUGUGUAGCGGUGAAAUGCGUAGAUAUAGGAAGGAACACCAGUGGCGAAGGCGACUACCUGGACUGAUACUGACACUGAGGUGCGAAAGCGUGGGGAGCAAACAGGAUUAGAAACCCGGGUAGUCC